GAGAGAGCUGAAGGAAAAUGACGAAGUCUGUUAACUCUUCCAGACAUGGUUUACACCACAUCUGCUCUCAUUCCAUUGGUGAAAGCGUGUCAUACGGCCAAGCCCAUUUCAACGGGGCAGGAUGUAUAUUCCUCUUAUUGGAGGCACUGCAGAUCACAUGCAGAGGCAAGGAAUUAAAGUUUUUGUACAGGGAAGGGGGAGUGCAAAUACUUGAGAAAAGCUUGCACUCCAUCAUAGAUUGUCAUUAUCUGGUAACCUUCAUAAUAGGAAGAGAGACAUGAUUAUGGCAUUAUGCAGACGUAUUUUCUAAAAAGCUAAAAUAAAUGCGGGGGUGUAAAAGUUGAACGUGGUCACAAAUGUAAAAGUCCUUAAUAUAUCAUAAAGAAUUAUGAAGUCUUAAUUUUAUUAUUAUUUCAGAAUAUUUAUGUGUGACACCUUAACUUCUUUACUCACAGAGGUAUCCUUUUGUCUCUCAUUCAAAUUUAAAUAUUUAUGUGUGACACCUUAACUGUUUUACUCACAGAGGUACCUUUUUGUCUCUCGUUCAAAUUUAAUUAACUUUAAUUUACUCACAAUUCCAAGAAGAAGAUUAGAAGUAGAAAGUUGUAGAUUGUGGUGGCAUGGAGCGCUCUGAAGGCAAACAGUGACAAAAGGAAGAGGCACAGUGUAGAGCAAAGGAGGUCAUAAGAAUAACUAUCUCAGAAAGCAGAGCUACUUGAGAUGACUUAUAGACAAUUUUGUGCAACUUAAUACCCCUCAGUAUACAACAAACUAUCUCUUUUUACUGUCAGGGCUGUGUCUUCUUAUUUUGUCUCAAAAUACAUUCCCUUCCACACAAGAUGCGGACACGGACAUACACACAAACAUGCACCUAUAGUCCCUAAUACAUGAAAAUCACAUGCAUUUGGCCCCUGAUUUCAGAAAAAUCACUAUUAUAACACAUAUGUACAUCAGUUUGGACAGACCAAGUUAUGCUGUAGUAAUAAACAACUCCCCAAAUUUUGGCGAAUGGCAAUAGCAGAGGUUUCUUUCUUUUUCAUGCUUCAUCUCCAACAUGAACAAGUGGGGGGUGGGAGGGAAGGCCCUGCUCAUCUUAGUUACCCAGGGCCUCUGGCUGGUGAAGUUUCCAUCUGAACACAUGCUUUACUGUGACUGAAGCAGCAAAAUGGAAGAUGGUGAAUCAUGCACAGGUUCUUGCAGCUUCUGUCUGGAAGUGCUACCUGUCACUUCUUAUUUGAUGGCCAAAGUGAAUCACAGAGCCACUUCAACAGGCAGAGGGAAAAGCAAGAGAAAAAUACACAACCCUUCAAGGCCAGGAAAAUGCAAUUCUGCCAUACACCCAAGGGGAAGAAUUAGAACUAUUUAGUGAAUGGUGUUAAUGACCAACACAAUGAGGUCCUACAUGUCUGGGUGUCCUGGAAAUACAGAACAACUUAGUUGGACAGCCUGUUUGGAUCUGAGAAAGAUGCAAGGCCCUGAGGAAGUGGGACACUAGGUUGGCGAGGUUGAUGGGGCAUGACAGGAGAAAAGAAGUCGCAUGAAGUGGUGCAAUGAGGAAGCCCAAGGACAGCUUCAGCCUCGGGGAGGGAACAAGUCCCCAAAGCACCAAAGAUUUUAGUGUCUUAAAAUCUUUUCUAAAACUCUUCCUGUUCUUCCUGCUUUACCUAGAGAGUUCGACUCCCUGUGAGUUCCUCAUAGUCCCCUUUCCCAGCAUUUCCAUUCUCGUCUUUCAAUACUAUUUGGGUCGACUGGCUCUUCACCCUCUGAUCCACCCCACAGCCUUGUUUUCCACAAGCAGAAGUCUGAGAAAGGCUGUGCUUAGCAUUUCCUCUUGUCUUUCUGUCGAACUCUGUGACAUGAGGAUUUGAGCUCUUGUGUGAACACGAAUUUAUGUGGUAUGGACUCCUAAAAGAGGCUGCUUCAUAUACUCUACCUGACCAGUUUCCCUUUAACUCUUGGAAGGGUGGCUUUGAAAUGAGAAUUGGGUGCAAGGGGUGUCCUAGAGGUCAACACUGUGAACAGAGGAAGGGGAAGGAACAGUUCUGCAAACGCAGAGGAGAAUCAAGAAGCAGAGCCCUGGUAAUAAGCUCAUGGCUUCCUAGAAGCACAGCACAAUGAGGAGCCUGGAAAUAUGCUCUGUCUCUUGAGAGCAAAACCUCACAGUCAGCUCUGGUCCUCCUACAAAGGGUGUUUCUGGAUCAUUGUUCUUUCCAACUGCAAUUAGUCAUACUUUUUCCUUGGUGGCCUGACAGAAAGAAGUAUUGGCCACACACUACUGUGGUAUGUGAACUUGCAGAGCUGGAAGGCAUUGCUGCUCACAUCCACGGCCCACUCUACUCUCGAGGAUCUACACUUUCUUUUUAAUGAGGCAAUGAGGCUGUGGGAAUCUCAGGCAUGAAACAUUUGUGGGAUAAUGGGCUGAAUGUUGGUAAGUCUCUUAAAUAAUAGAAGUCAGGACUGCAGACCUUAUGACCUCUGAGCUUCCAUAGAGACCUGGAUGGAGCUGAGUAUUGUUUGCAAGGCACUGGAUGCAUAAUUAUCUUUCCAGAUGGGUCCUCAGGAGACUAAGGCCCAGGAGAGCCUUGGAGUAUGUGUAUGGAUUUGUCUACAAGACCACACACAGCAUCAGCAGCCCUACUCUGCACAUCUCCAGUCCUGUCCAGUCAGGUCCUCCCCAGUUGACUCAGAACUUUCCAUGCUUUUCAGAGGUAUUUGCAGUCCAUUCUGCAGACUAGCCCUCAUUUGUCCUUUCUCAUUUGUACCCAAAUUGUCCUUCUUAAUGACCCUCCACUGUGGUUUGAACUUUCCUGCAUUGCUCAUACAUUAUCCCCUCAAUUUCAAUAGACCGUCGCCACUCUAAUUAUUCUUUAGCAUUGAGCUCAGACCUCAUUUUGCCCAUGAAUCCUUCCUAAUCACUCCUGCUAGAAGGCCUCUGGUCUCUUAUUUCCUAUUUUACACAUAGACCAGAACUCUCAUUCCCCCCACGCCCCAUUUUUCUCAUACACAUAGAGCCAUCUUGCAUCUAACAUUGUGUAUGUAUCUCAUACUCUCAAGAGUGAUAUUCUUAAAGACUGGGCUUAUAUGUGUGGGAAGUGGGGGAGGAAUGUAGAGAUGCAAAGACAUCUUACAUUCUUUUAUGUGUCUUGAUUGUCAGCUGAGUUUACUCUGCAUACUGAAACAUAAAUAAAAGUGUGUUACAUCCUCUGGGAAGUUCAGGGCUUCCCUUCCGAUUCCUACAAAUUCUGGGAGGUUUAUAGCCUCAUUCCCGUAAUUAGUUACCCUCCUUCCCAUUUCCUAUUUGUCUGAAUCUCGUACAUGUCUCAUCUCCUAAAGAUCUGAUCUUAGCUCUGCACCAAUCUAGACUUAGAAACUGCUCCUUUUCUUUGAUUUCCCUCGUAAUGUUGCUCAGAUGGAGCAUCUGUAGCAGAGGACUAUUUUGAAGUACUACCUAGAAUCCUUUUGGCACCAUGUAGUAAAAGUUGGAUACUUGAUACUGCUUUUCUUCAGCGUCGUUUCAGCACCCUUUGACUGAGGAAUUUCUCCUGUGCUAACAUUUCUCCAUGGGACUCCCCUAUGCAAUGGGAUGGGCCCUGAACACCAGAUCCCUGUCCUGUUGGCAUGUCUCCAAUGGCACAUAAGUCCCCAUGCACCCAGUUCUCCUUACGUUCCUUUCAGACUAAUUUAACGAUCUCUUUUCUUGCCAGCACAUUUCCAACCACAUCCUAGGUGCCUCAUCUGUCAUAUCCAAAGCAAAGGAACUGGUCAAGGGGGCAAGUAAAGGAGUCCAUCACACUGGAGAGCAGGCAUGCUGCUCACUCUCCCAGGGGCAGGAACAGCUCAAGUUGUGAUUGUGCCUACACUUGGUCACGCAGUAUAUCUUCAGGAAUGUUCAUUGGAAGGAGGAAUGAAGAAGAAAUUGACCCGUCCAUUUUCUCUUGCCUCUCUUUGGCCAAGAUGGCACUAUGAGGAAUUAACUACCUUGCAUUCCAGCUUGCUGCUGCAUUUGUGCAGGAAAUACUAAGCUUGCUGAUGAGAAAGGAGAAGAAAUAGAGAAAACAACGUACAGUUAGGCCUAUAGGAAUCUGCCGAGGGGAACUGACAAGCCCUGCUCAGUCUUGCCCACUGUCUGCUUGGAGGAUCAGGAUGAGUUUGUUUACUUGAGACUACAUAGGAGUCAAGAACACAUUAAUCCUGUAAUGAAUGGACACCUUGCCUCUUCUUAUCCUUGGCCUCCUUAUGAAACUACCACCAUCUUGUUGAAUUUGGGAAGUUUGUUGCUUUAUCAUUUCUUACUAUAGAGAAAUCUAAAUGGCAUAACAUUGUAAUACAAUUGUAACCUUUACAUUCUCUUAAAUAUAUCUGGAGCAAUUUUCCAUUUUAUUACAUAAUCUUCUACAGCACAAUUUUAAUAAAACUAUGAGUAUUCCAUUAUAUGAUUGCAUUAUACAUUUUUACCUUUGAUAUGAAUACAUUAUGGUUGUAAAAUGUUCUUGCAGUAUACGAAUCAAUAUAUACGGCUGGCUGCCCUCACUAUCAGAACUCACUGGCCCCUCGAGAGUUAGUCAUCAUCCAUGUCUUGAAGUUCACUGGUUUGGCAUUUUAUAUAUAGAUUAACAAAGUUUAUUCUUUUAAAAAUAUAAAUAUUAAAUAUUGAAUGGACAUAAUUAGAUAGAAAGGUAUAUUUCUAAAAUAUGUAGAGUAUAAAAAUUCCAAUACUAUGAAACCUGCAGAUCCAACUAGCCAGCCUCAGAAAUAGAACAUUACUGAUGCCUCAGAAGCCACCCGCUAGCUCUCCCCAGCUGCAUUCUCCUCCCUAGCAUCCAAUGGUUAUCACUAUCUGAAAUUUUCUGUAAAUCAUUCACAAGCUUUGC